GCUGCUGGCCUCAGUAAUGACCACCUGAUCACUUGUCCAAGACACCUUCAAAUUCAAUGCCUUGAAUCGGCAUCUCACCACCAUCACCAGAAUCCAAUUUCAGCCUCCUCUUUAUAGGAUCACCCACGAAGAAAAAAGAGUUGAUUAACCCCAAAAGUACAAAAUUAUAAUAAGUGUGACCAAAAAGAAACAUAUCUUGUUGAAUAUCUAACUACAGCUAUUAAUUAGUGGUGCCCUUUUGAGUUAAUGGUGUGUGAUAAGACUUUUUGAAGGCCGAAUUGGGAUGAGAUCAUUGUGGAGAAGAAAAAUUGAAUUGGGUCAAUGAGUGUAGGGGCACAAGGAACGGGCAGCAUGUGCAGGCGUGUAGAGGGCAAAGCCAAAGUUAUGGUUUUCAAUUUUGUGACCACCGCCCUCAAUUAUACACUUCCUGCUUUUGAACUGGCUGUGAAAGGAUACAAUCAGUGAUAGUUUUGGGCCAGAAUUACUAGAUAUUCCCUACUUUUACCUGGAUAUUUGGAUCGGAUAAGAGCUGGAAUUUGCUGUUUCUGCUUUCUCUCCUCAGGGCAAUAGCCUUUUAUGCUAAAAAAGUCGCACAAUCUUGAUUCCUUUGAGGCUAUGUAGCGUACCAUUGAAGUUCGACCUCAAUUUUCUAAAGAAAUCUUCCCAUUUCAAGGUCUUUGUACUACUUUCAUUUAUUAUUUCUAACCUGUAGGGAAUACAAAGUUGAUUUG
rnacentral:misc_RNA from 1 species